UAAUUGAAGAGUUUGAUCAUGGCUCAGAUUGAACGCUGGCGGCAGGCCUAACACAUGCAAGUCGGGCGGUAACAGGGAGAAGCUUGCUUCUCUGCUGACGAGCGGCGGACGGGUGAGUAAUGUAUGGGGAU
rnacentral:rRNA from 1 species